AUUGAACGCUGGCGGCAGGCCUAACACAUGCAAGUCGAGCGGUAGCACAGAGAGCUUGCUCUCGGGUGACGAGCGGCGGACGGGUGAGUAAUGUCUGGGAAACUGCCUGAUGGAGGGAGAUAACUACUGGAAACGGUAGCUAAUACCGCAUAACGUCGCAAGACCAAAGAGGGGGACCUUCGGGCCUCUUGCCAUCAGAAGUGCCCAGAUGGGAUUAGCUAGUAGGUGGGGUAACGGCUCACCUAGGCGACGAUCCCUAGCUGGUCUGAGAGGAUGACCAGCCACACUGGAACUGAGACACGGUCCAGACUCCUACGGGAGGCAGCAGUGGGGAAUAUUGCACAAUGGGCGCAAGCCUGAUGCAGCCAUGCCGCGUGUAUGAAGAAGGCCUUCGGGUUGUAAAGUACUUUCAGCGGGGAGGAAGGUGUUGAGGUUAAUAACCUCAGCAAUUGACGUUACCCGCAGAAGAAGCACCGGCUAACUCCGUGCCAGCCGCCGCAGUAA
rnacentral:rRNA from 1 species